rnacentral:rRNA from 1 species
AUGUUUAAUUGUCAAGUGGGCACCCUGCCCAUGAGAUAUUUGGGUGUUCCUGUUACAUACUCUACUCUUAAGAACAUAGAGUUGGAUUUCCUGGAGGGUAAGAUGAUUAAAAAAUUGGAUGCUUGGAUUUCUUAUGCAGCAUCAUCAGGAGCCAGACUCACUCUGUUAGGAUCCAGCCUGGAUGGGAUUCCAUCCUAUCUUAUGUCGAUGUUUCUCUUCAAUAAAACUUUUAUUGAAAAAAUGAAUAAACAUCGCAGACGAUUUUUUGGAGGAAAAAAAACAAGAAACAUGGAUACCAUAUGGUGA